rnacentral:rRNA from 1 species
GUGCCAGCAGCCGCGGUAAUACGUAGGGUGCGAGCGUUAAUCGGAAUUACUGGGCGUAAAGCGUGCGCAGGCGGUUCGUUAUGUCCGUUGUGAAAGCCCCGGGCUCAACCUGGGAAUGGCAAUGGAAACUGGCGGGCUAGAGUGUGGCAGAGGGGGGUGGAAUUCCGCGUGUAGCAGUGAAAUGCGUAGAUAUCGGGAGGAACACCUGCAGCGAAGGCGGCUUCCUGGACUGCAACUGACGCUGAGGCGCGAAAGCUAGGGGAGCAAACAGGAUUAGAUACCCUGGUAGUCCACGCCCUAAACGAUGUCGACUGGUUGUUGGGGAUUCAUUUCCUUAGUAACGUAGCUAACGCGUGAAGUUGACCGCCUGGGGAGUACGGCCGCAAGGUUAAAACUCAAAGGAAUUGACGG